CUACGGGAGGCAGCAGUGGGGAAUAUUGCGCAAUGGGCGGAAGCCUGACGCAGCGACGCCGCGUGGGGGAUGACGGCCUUCGGGUUGUAAACCUCUUUCGCCAGGGACGAAGCUUUUGUGACGGUACCUGGAGAAGAAGCACCGGCCAACUACGUGCCAGCAGCCGCGGUAACACGUAGGGUGCGAGCGUUGUCCGGAAUUAUUGGGCGUAAAGAGCUCGUAGGCGGUGUGUCGCGUCGGCCGUGAAAACUUGGGGCUUAACUCUGAGCGUGCGGUCGGUACGGGCAUCACUUGAGUUCGGCAGGGGAGACUGGAAUUCCUGGUGUAGCGGUGAAAUGCGCAGAUAUCAGGAGGAACACCGGUGGCGAAGGCGGGUCUCUGGGCCGAUACUGACGCUGAGGAGCGAAAGCGUGGGGAGCGAACAGGAUUAGAUACCCUGGUAGUCCACGCCGUAAACGUUGGGCGCUAGGUGUGGGGACCAUUCCACGGUUUCUGUGCCGCAGCUAACGCAUUAAGCGCCCCGCCUGGGGAGUACGGCCGCAAGGCUAAAACUCAAAGGAAUUGACG
rnacentral:rRNA from 1 species